GGAAGACCUCCACGGAGGGAGACAUCAGGGGCUGCCUGCGGGAUGCGCAGAGGGGACAACCUCGGCCAGGCGGGGUCUGGGACUCUAUCCAUGAGAAAAGAGAAGGGUGUCAAGUUGCUAAAACCAAGAGCCUAAGUUGGAGGAGAAAAACUGCUUAGUUGGAAUCAGUGGGUUCCUCCCACAGAUCUAUAUCUGGAAUCUAACUUCCUACCUCCCCUUUGAAGGGAAGAAGGUAAGAACUUCGUCUAAUCUAAUCAGAGGGAAAAGAUUGCUCUUAGUUUGGGGAAAGUGUUCUUAUCUGGUUAUCAUCCUUAAUCUGUUUAUCUAAUGAAAGCUCCUUUUUCUUCUUGUUGGAAACUAUCCCACCUUAACAAAGGACUGGGCAGAAAAAUAACGUCUUGUUUCUAAAGGAACUAAAAGGAGAUUUUCAAUAUACUUCCACAAUAAUAAGUCUUUAAUAAAGGAUUAUUGAUUGUUGAUUGAGACUUGAAG
rnacentral:lncRNA from 1 species